rnacentral:rRNA from 1 species
UACGGAGGGGGCUAGCGUUGUUCGGAAUUAUUGGGCGUAAAGGGCGCGUAGGCGGCCCGGUAAGUCAAAGGUGAAAUCCCUCGGCUCAACUGAGGAACUGCCUUUGAAACUGUCGGGCUUGAGGCCGGGAGGGGGUAGCGGAAUUCCCAGUGUAGCGGUGAAAUGCGUAGAUAUUGGGAGGAACACCGGUGGCGAAGGCGGCUACCUGGACCGGUUCUGACGCUGAUGCGCGAAAGCGUGGGUAGCAAACAGG